UACGUAUGUAGCGAGCGUUAUCCGGAAUUAUUGGGCGUAAAGGGCGUGUAGGUGGCUUGGUGAGUUUAAGGUGAAAGCGCGGGGCUCAACCCCGUAAUGCGUUAGAUACUGGCAAGCUAGAGUACUGGAGAGGGUGGCGGAACUCCAAGUGUAGAGGUGAAAUGCGUAGAUAUAUGGAGGAACACCGGUGGCGAAGGCGGCUCACUGGACAGAGACUGACGCUGAUGCGCGAAAGCGUGGGGAGCAAACAGG
rnacentral:rRNA from 1 species